rnacentral:rRNA from 1 species
AUACGGAGGGUGCAAGCGUUACUCGGAAUCACUGGGCGUAAAGCGCGCGCAGGCGGGCUGAUAAGUUGGAUGUGGAAGCCUACGGCUCAACCGUAGAACUGCAUCCAAAACUGUCAGUCUAGAGUGUGGGAGAGGAAGAUGGAAUUAGUUGUGUAGGGGUAAAAUCCGUAGAGAUAACUAGGAAUACCAAAAGCGAAGGCAAUCUUCUGGAACACUACUGACGCUGAGGCGCGAAGGCGUGGGGAGCAAACAGGAUUAGAUACCCCAGUAGUCC